rnacentral:rRNA from 1 species
CCUACGGGUGGCAGCAGUGGGGAAUAUUGGACAAUGGGCGAAAGCCUGACCCAGCAACGCCGCGUGAAUGAAGAAGGCUUUCGGUAUGUAAAGUUCUUUCCGUGGGGACGAAAAACACGACGGUUCUCAAGGACUACGCCACUGCUAACUACGUACCAGCCGCCGCGGUAAUACGUAGGUGGCAAGCGUUAUCCGUAUUUAGUGGGUGUAAGGGGGGUGGCGGCGGGAUUGCAAGUCAGAUGUGAAAACCACGGUCUUAACCUGUGGCCUGCAUUUGAAACUGUAGUUCUUGAGUGCUGGAGAGGCAAUCGGAAUUCCGGGUGUAGCGGUGAAAUGCGUAGAUAUACGGAGGAACACCGGUGGCGAAGGCGGAUUGCUGGACAGUAACUGACGCUGAGGCGCGAAAGCGUGGGGAGCAAACAGGAUUAGAUACCCUAGUAGUC